rnacentral:rRNA from 1 species
AACCUGAAGAAUACAUUUUUGGCGAUUUCUGCUCAAUGAAUAUUAAAUAGCCGCAGUACUUUGACUGUGCAAAGGUAGCAUAAUAAUUUGGCUUUUAAUUGGGGUCUAGAAUGAAUGAAAAAAUGGGGAGAUACCGUAUCAAUUAAGUAUUUCAAAUUUGCUAAGGAGGUGAAAAUUCCUUCGGUUAUAUAAUAGACGAGAAGACCCUUGAAAUUUAUUAUUAAAAUUUUGUUGGGGCGACAAAGUAGCAAUAAAACCUACUUUAAUAAAUAUGUCUUAUUAUUUAAGAAAAAAACAAAUUACUCAAGGGAUAACAGCAUAAUUAUUUACGUAGUUUGUGACCUCGAUGUUGGAUUAGGAAUAUCUAACCCAGAAGGUUAAGAUUUUUGCUCUGUUCGAGCGAUUUUUCCUACGUGAUCUGAGUUCCAGACCCGG